rnacentral:rRNA from 1 species
RACACUUUCRAAUUGCGGGAAACUCCUAARAGCCCUUUACACCAAACCAKUAUGGGAAACCUGCUGGCGGCCCGUGGGAAACUACGGGGUAUGGUAAUAKUUAAAGGGAUGAGCCAACACUGAAAAGUUUGGUGAAAUGGACAAUCCGCAGCGAAGCCCCUGCUGUUCAUAGUAGUUUAUGAAAGGAUUUUGUCGUGGCUUUGCCCUUGACUGUUCCUGGAGACCACUAAACAUGGGGAACGUUCACAGACUAAUUGGAAGUGGGUGGAGUGUUUUAUCACUCUGCUUAAGAUAUAGUCGGGCCCCUUUGGAAACUCUGGGGAUGGAUCAACUUUUGAGAGCGCUGUUUCUCAUAAGCUGUUUCCGCUUAAACCGUUCCGUAGGUGAACCUGCGGAAGGAUCAUUAC